rnacentral:rRNA from 1 species
UACAGAGGUCUCAAGCGUUGUUCGGAUUCAUUGGGCGUAAAGGGUGCGUAGGCGGCGCGGUAAGUCGGGUGUGAAAUCUUGGAGCUUAACUCCGAAACUGCAUUCGAUACUGCCGUGCUUGAGGACUGGAGAGGAGACUGGAAUUUACGGUGUAGCGGUGAAAUGCGUAGAUAUCUGGAGGAACACCGGUGGCGAAGGCGGCAUCCUGGACCAAUUCUGACGCUGAGGAGCGAAAGCCAGGGGAGCAAAGCGGG